UGCUGGAGGUAUCAGAAGUGCGAAUGCUGACAUAAGUAACGAUAAAGCGGGUGAAAAGCCCGCUCGCCGGAAGACCAAGGGUUCCUGUCCAACGUUAAUCGGGGCAGGGUGAGUCGACCCCUAAGGCGAGGCCGAAAGGCGUAGUCGAUGGGAAACAGGUUAAUAUUCCUGUACUUGGUGUUACUGCGAAGGGGGGACGGAGAA
rnacentral:rRNA from 1 species